ACAAAGGCAUAAUUUUCCAUGGAAGACCAUAUGGAGGAGUAAAGCACCAACCAAGGCAGCAUUCUUUGUUUGGACAGCAGCUCUAGGGAAGAUUAUGACCAUAGAUAAUCUUAGACGUCGUGGCCUUAUCAUCACGGACUGGUGCUGUUUGUGCAGAAAUAGUGGUGAAACGACGGACCAUCUACUCUUACAUUGUGAUUUUACUCGAGAUAUUUGGAGUUAUUUCUUCAGCAAAAUGGGAAUAGCUUGGGUAAUGCCGGGUAGGGUGGUGGAACUGUUAGCAAGCUGGAGAGGGAUCACUGGAACACCACAGAUCAAGGCUGUGUGGAAGAUGACUCCCAUUUGUAUGAUUUGGUGUAUUUGGUGUGAAAGAAACAAGAGGCUUUUUGAGGAUCAUGAGCGCUCCAUGGAAGAGUUUAGGAAUUUUUUCUGGAAGACUUUGUUUUUGUGGGCCAUUGCUCUAGAUUUGAAUGGCCUCAGCUUCCAUGAUUUCCUUGUAACUGUUUCUAGUUCUUAAAUAGGUGUAUUCACAUGUAUAUUUCUAGUGUACCUGGGCUAUGCCUACUUUCUUUAUCAAUGAAAUAAUUUAUUACUUAUCAAAAAAAAAAUUUAUUAAAAAAAAAUG